AUAUUUAAGAACUAUACGAUAAAUCUUCUCUUUAUCGUACACUAGCAUAGUUCUAAGGACUUCAUCACAACACAAGAGUUAAAGGAAGAUAUUACUUUGUGAUGAAAAAUACCAAAAUAAUUUUAUUUAUUAAUCAAUAACUCAUAUACAAAGAGGAACUCAAUCGUCAUACAAUUGAUUUUAGGACAUAAUUUUCAACAAUUCUAACUUGGACUACAGCC
rnacentral:lncRNA from 1 species